UGCCUUUUUGUGUUGCCCUGUCAUCGUUACACAAAUGAAUGGGGUGUCAACAAAGGCAUACAUCAACCUUUGUGUUGGCCUUAACAAGGUGUCUAACAGUGUCACCUUGUAUUAAGUUCUGCAUCAAGUACAUGU